rnacentral:lncRNA from 1 species
AAGAAAAGCAACUGUUCUGUUCAUCUUGGUAUCCUUUCAAGAGAAUUUUCUUCCCUGUAACUGAGCAUGUCCCAUAUGUUUUGGGUCCAGAGACUGCCAGAAGUAACUGUGUUAUCUUUACCAGACCCAAGUAACAAGCAUGGGCAUACGGAUGGAGCUCAUUUCCAUAAUGUGCAACUUGAGAGAUGCUUUUGAAAAAUAAUUGCAGUGAACGAUUGGGUAUUUAUUCUUGUGUGGGCAUGGGGAUAUUUGUAACAGUUGUGUGUCUGUCUGCUGUAGUGUUUGAGGACUAGGCCUACUCCUAUGGUCAUUUUCACCUCUAAGAUUUAAAAUUUUACCAUUGGAAGGAGCAUCAAGAAUAUGAAGACAAGCAAGUUCUACAAAAGGUUGACAUCCUUGAAAACAACCACAACAACAACGGUGGAAGAGAAAUUAAACGGUUGCUCCAAGAAGAGACUCUUAACAGAAAUGAUGACUCAGAUUUAUGUGGAGGCCCGGUUUUCUGCCCUCCUGCAGGAAACACAAACACCAGAACACAGAUCUUUUCACCUAAGGAAAACUGAGUGAGAAAGGAAAUCAAAAUAAGAAAAGUUAAAUACAACAAAAGAGGUUUAUUUUAUUUAACAAAGAUUUACCUUGUUCUUAUUAUGUUCUAAGUAGUUUUUCAAAAAAAUUAGCUUAUUUAAUUCUUGUAACAACUCUAUGAAAAAGGUACUGUUGUUACUAUUUUAGAGAUGAGGAAAAUGAUGACUAUCACUGGCAGGAGACCAUGCAAGACAUCAAAAGAUGCUCCUCAGAAAUCAUUAUUAAACCUACAGCAUAGUAAACCUCACAUGCGGUAGUGCAGAAAUACUAACUGAAAUCUGAUAUGAGUAUCCAACUGUGAAGAAGCUUGAGCUUUAAAUAUGUCUACAGAGAGGAGGAACUGAGGAGACCAGGAGGCAUACUACCUACUUCUGUCUGUUUGUAUAGGCACAUAUGUGCCAAAUUUUUCAAUAUGUAAAAAAAUAGCACAUGGUAAGUUGUCCAUACAGAGUGUUCAAUAUUGUCUCAUGAUCUUUGACCUGGUUUUCCAAAAGAUGUUAACUUGGGGAAUUUGGGAAAGAGGUAUACGAGUGAAGGCUUUCCCUUUCCAUUUGAAUCUUUCUUAUUUCGCUCCCCAGAAUUUCCUCCAACUCUCCAAGGAUCAUUCUUUAAUUGAUUAAGAUCCUUUGGUAGUUGAGUUAAUUGCCUGCCAUCACCCAGCUAGCAAGGUGCAGAGCUAGGAUUUAUACCCGGAUACAUAUGAUUAAGAAACCAAACAAACAAAUCAUUCUUCCCUCCAUUACACUUGAUAUAUUUCUCUAGGGGUCUUUUUCUCCCCAAAUACCUAAGCUUGCCUACAAUUGAAAGCAACGAUAUUAUAUAAAGGUUCUGGGCUUUCAACUGGAAGAACACUAGAGAUAAGAAGUCUGUCCUCCUCACUUAUGGGGAAGGACAUAGAAACCAAGAAGGAAAAUCUCACUAGAAGGACUAGAAACCAUUUCUAGUCCACUAGAAGGACUGGAAGCCAUUUCUCCUUUCCAGGUUCAUCCUGCACUGCUGUGAGCUUUGGAUUAAUAUAUAUGAAAAUAAAUAGUAAUAUGUUCCAAUUGCAUAAUGGAAAUCUCAUCGAAUGUUCAUUAUUUAAGUGUAUGUAUAUUUUUAAGAGCCAAGAAAGGCAUUAAGUUACUUAAAGUUCUGGAUUUCCAUUUUUAUAAUUUGUCUGUCGAGUACAGAUUGUGUCACUUCAUGUCUUGCAGAAUUCAGAAUUCUCUGAUGGCUCAACAAAUGGAAGUGUUUUGAUUAGUCUUGACAGUAAGCUGGGGGACCAGUUUGAGCCAUGUUUGAAGUAGACAGAUAGCAUGAUGAUAACAAUAAUGUGCAUAAUAAAAGUUCUAUAAUUAGGUAAUCUCUUAAUAAACCAUCAUAUAUUUGGCCUGUCAGCUGUUUCCACUCAUAUGGCAUGACAGAUUUCCUUUCUGCCUUUUCUUUCUUUCUCAAUUUAAACAUUAUCUAAAUUGAAAGAAUGUCUUCUGUGUUUGAAAUCCACUUAAAGGCCCAGGAAACCUAGAUGAGUAAGGUAACUAUUCAAUUUUGAAUGCUUUAGUAAAAAUAUGUUUUUACCAGGAGAAUUUUAUAGGUAAAAUGUAAAGUUGAAUGUCUGUUUCUGACCUUGACUCAGUGAUUUGUAGAAAUGUCAAAUGUAGUAAUCACUCAGUCCAGUCUUUGGGAUGGAUGAGUGACAUCAUAAACCCCUUAUUUCUGAUAGUCUGGAAAUCUAUUCUGUGGUUCUGCAAAAAUUGCUUGACUGGGACUUUACUGUCAUGAAUUAGUCCUCUCUUCAAUGGAGUAUUAAUUAUUCCAGAGACAUGUGAGAAUAAAUGCAAAUAUACAUUUCAAAUAUUUUCCUUUGAGUAUUCCUCAUUAUGUACUAGAUUGUAUGUCUUUGUUAUGACAACUCUGCCUAGAUUCAAGACUUCAAGUGAAAAGAUCAGAAACUUAAAGACCCUGGAUUUAAAUCCUACCUCUAGUAAUUACGAGUUGUGUUGCCUUGAUCACUUAGUUUCCCUUUCUC